UAGCUGUUUGCCCAGGGUUUGAGACCUAAC
rnacentral:piRNA from 1 species